UACGUAGGGUGCGAGCGUUAAUCGGAAUUACUGGGCGUAAAGUGUGCGCAGGCGGCCGAGCAAGUCGAGUGUGAAAGCCCCGGGCUUAACUUGGGAAUUGCGCUCGAAACUAUUUGGCUGGAGUGUGGCAGAGGAAGGUGGAAUUCCAGGUGUAGCGGUGAAAUGCGUAGAGAUCUGGAGGAACACCGAUGGCGAAGGCAGCCUUCUGGGCCAACACUGACGCUCAUGCACGAAAGCGUGGGGAGCAAACAGG
rnacentral:rRNA from 1 species